AGUCUUAUAGUCAAUUAUGAUAUUAAAUUGCAAAUUUAAAGGUAUAAAUAUUUAAGGCUU
rnacentral:tRNA from 1 species